AAGGAAGGCUUCCUGGGAUUACCAUGGGCCACUCGAUGCAAGAAGGAUAAAUGCAAUUUCAGCUUCGCUUCAGUGAACAGGAGGUGGUGACUGAAGUGACCUGAAACCCAAGAGAUGUUACCUGGGAUUAUGACAGCUUUAUUUUGCCUCUGCACCGAAGAUAGGACCCAAAAAACAUAAAACCCAUCACCAAAGACAUAACAACAAACAUAAAGGUAAAAAUAAAGUUUUCUGUUCCCACUAUGUAAAAUUGAUCUAUUUUUUUCUGCCAUUGCCUAGAGCAAUUUACAUGCAUCAUUUGGUGCAGCUGUCUUUGCUUGACAGCUUGGGACUGGAAUAUAUCUCCAUACUUCAGCAAUGGCUUAUGUAAAGAAAUGUCUAAGGACUACCUCAAAAGGGCAGAAGAGAAGGUGAAGAGGGGACUA